rnacentral:rRNA from 1 species
UACGUAGGGUGCAAGCGUUAAUCGGAAUUACUGGGCGUAAAGCGUGCGCAGGCGGUUCUAUAAGACAGAUGUGAAAUCCCCGGGCUCAACCUGGGAACUGCAUUUGUGACUGUAGAGCUGGAGUGCGGCAGAGGGGGAUGGAAUUCCGCGUGUAGCAGUGAAAUGCGUAGAUAUGCGGAGGAACACCGAUGGCGAAGGCAAUCCCCUGGGCCUGCACUGACGCUCAUGCACGAAAGCCAGGGGAGCGAACGGG